rnacentral:rRNA from 1 species
AACGGCUCACCAAGCCGACGAUCAGUAGCCGACCUGAGAGGGUGACCGGCCACAUUGGGACUGAGACACGGCCCAAACUCCUACGGGAGGCAGCAGUGGGGAAUAUUGCACAAUGGAGGAAACUCUGAUGCAGCGACGCCGCGUGAGGGAAGACGGUUUUCGGUAUGUAAAGCUCUAUCAGCAGGGAAGAAACUGACGGUACCUGACUAAGAAGCACCGGCUAAAUAC